rnacentral:rRNA from 1 species
GACGAACGCUGGCGGCGUGCUUAACACAUGCAAGUCGAACGAUGAAGCCGGAGCUUGCUCCGGUGGAUUAGUGGCGAACGGGUGAGUAACACGUGAGUAACCUGCCCUUGACUCUGGGAUAACUGCGGGAAACUGUAGCUAAUACCGGAUACGACCCUCGGCGGCAUCGCCAGGGGGUGGAAAGAAUUUCGGUCAAGGAUGGACUCGCGGCCUAUCAGCUAGUUGGUGAGGUAACGGCUAACCAAGGCGACGACGGGUAGCCGGCCUGAGAGGGUGACCGGCCACACUGGGACUGAGACACGGCCCAGACUCCUACGGGAGGCAGCAGUGGGGAAUAUUGCACAAUGGGCGCAAGCCUGAUGCAGCAACGCCGCGUGAGGGAUGACGGCCUUCGGGUUGUAAACCUCUUUUAGUAGGGAAGAGGCGAAAGUGUCGGUACCUGCAGAAAAAGCACCGGCUAACUACGUGCCAGCCGCCGCCGUAA